rnacentral:rRNA from 1 species
ACGGGAGGCAGCAGUGGGGGAUAUUGCACAAUGGGGGAAACCCUGAUGCAGCGACGCCGCGUGAGUGAAGAAGUAUUUCGGUAUGUAAAGCUCUAUCAGCAGGAAAGAUAAUGACGGUACCUGACUAAGAAGCCCCGGCUAACUACGUGCCAGCAGCCGCGGUAAUACGUAGGGGGCAAGCGUUAUCCGGAUUUACUGGGUGUAAAGGGGGCGUAGAUGGCGAUGCAAGUCUGAAGUGAAAGCCCGGGGCUCAACCCCGGGACUGCUUUGGAAACUGUGUUGCUAGAGUGCAGGAGAGGUAAGCGGAAUUCCUAGUGUAGCGGUGAAAUGCGUAGAUAUUAGGAGGAACACCGGUGGCGAAGGCGGCUUACUGGACUGUAACUGACAUUGAGGCUCGAAAGCGUGGGGAGCAAACAGGAUUAGAUACCCUGGUA